UACGUAGGGUGCGAGCGUUAAUCGGAAUUACUGGGCGUAAAGCGUGCGCAGGCGGUUCGUUAUGUCCGUUGUGAAAGCCCCGGGCUCAACCUGGGAAUGGCAAUGGAAACUGGCGGGCUAGAGUGUGGCAGAGGGGGGUGGAAUUCCGCGUGUAGCAGUGAAAUGCGUAGAGAUGCGGAGGAACACCGAUGGCGAAGGCAGCCCCCUGGGCUGACACUGACGCUCAGGCACGAAAGCGUGGGGGAGCAAACAGG
rnacentral:rRNA from 1 species